GACGAACGCUGGCGGCGUGCUUAACACAUGCAAGUCGUACGGUAAGGCCCUUUCCGGGGUACUCUAGUGGCAACCGGGGGCGUAACACGUACGUAACCUUCCCCCACCUUUGGGAUAGCGCUAAGUACCUGAUGCUGAUACUGAAUAUGUGCUCCUUCUUCAACGUGGUGGUUGGAAAGCUCCGGGGGGUGUUGCUGUCCUCGUUAGCUAUCGGCUUGUUGGGGUGGUAAUGGAUUACCAAGGCGGCGUCGGGAAGCCAGCCUACGUGGGUGACCUGCGACACUGGGACUGAGAGAAGGCCGAGACUCCUAAGGGAGGCAGAAGUGGGGAAUACUGCACAAGGGGCGCAAGCCGGAUGCAGCAGGGCUGCGGGCGGGAUGACGGCCUUCGGGUUGUAAACCGCUUGCAGCAGGGACGAAGCUUUUUGUGACGGUACCUGCAGAAGAAGCACCGGCUAACUACGUG
rnacentral:rRNA from 1 species